rnacentral:rRNA from 1 species
UACGGGGGGGUAAGCGUUGUUCGGAAUUACUGGGCGUAAAGGGCUCGUAGGCGGCCAACUAAGUCGGACGUGAAAUCCCUCGGCUUAACCGGGGAACUGCGUCUGAUACUGGAUGGCUUGAGUUUGGGAGAGGGAUGCGGAAUUCCAGGUGUAGCGGUGAAAUGCGUAGAUAUCUGGAGGAACACCGGUGGCGAAGGCGGCAUCCUGGACCAACACUGACGCUGAGUGAGCGAAAGCGUGGGAGCAACAGG